rnacentral:tRNA from 1 species
GCCCUCAUAGCUCAGUCGGUAGAGCGCAUCCAUGGUAAGGAUGAGGUCACCAGUUCGAUUCUGGUUGUGGGCUCCA